CCGAAUGCUAAAAGGCAUUUCCCAUAUAUUUUAUAAACUUUGUUCAGGACUAUAAAGAUAUCAUCACAAAAACAUUAAUUUGAUCUCAGUUAUUGAGACAAAUUUUAGUUUCAUAAGCAGUUAAAUUUUGUGCUUCUGAAAUACCUUGAUGCUUGGACUCUGCUGGAUUUUAAGUUUCAUAAGGAUAGAGCAAUAUUUGCCUUUUCUAUUUCCUUUUCUCUAGCAUCUUUUUUUCCCUGGAACAUACCAGAUACUUAAUAAUUGUUCAGUGAAUGACUAACAUUACUAUUUUUCCUCUUAAGGUGAAAUCUGAUUGUGCUGAUGCUUUGGGGAAGAACAUAUCAGUAUCAAUGGUGAGCAGAAGAGGAGCAGGGAUGAUGAAAGACCACACAUUCUCCAAAAGUCACUAAGCACUGUCCACAGAUCGAACAUUCAUAUUUUCAGAUAGUGUAAGUCAUAUGAUCGUUGAUCCUCCAUGUAUUGCCAUUUAACCCUUUACUUUAGAAUGUCAGCCUUUAUAACUGAUAUCACACACUUUGUAAAAUGUAGUGAAGAUAAAGGAGUGAAGUUAAACUUGCAAUGCUCUUGCUAUUAUUUGUAAAAAUGCAAUAGGUAUUGCAUAGAGUUAGUUACAAGCACAAAACUGUGCUUGUAAUAAUGCAUUAAUAAUGCAAGAUUGUGCUGACCAACAUUGCAGUCUCUGAAUAGGAGAAAUAAUAUAUUCUUUGCACCAGUAUACAAUGAUUUAGAACUUUAAUAGUGUACUGGGGAAAAAACACGUGUCUGUAACCUGAAAUAGUUGUUUCGCCUCACUGAGUACAAAAUAUGUCACAAUUCUCUCCUAAAUGUAUUUUCUAUUUUUUAUCAGUCAUU
rnacentral:lncRNA from 1 species